GACGAACGCUGGCGGCGUGCUUAACACAUGCAAGUCGAACGGAAAGGCCCUGCUUUUGUGGGGUGCUCGAGUGGCGAACGGGUGAGUAACACGUGAGUAACCUGCCCUUGACUUUGGGAUAACUUCAGGAAACUGGGGCUAAUACCGGAUAGGAGCUCCUGCUGCAUGGUGGGGGUUGGAAAGUUUCGGCGGUUGGGGAUGGACUCGCGGCUUAUCAGCUUGUUGGUGGGGUAGUGGCUUACCAAGGCUUUGACGGGUAGCCGGCCUGUGAGGGUGACCGGGCACAUUGGGACUGAGAUACGGCCCAGACUGCUACGGGAGGCAGCAGUGGGGAAUAUUGCACAAUGGGCGGAAGCCUGAGGCAGCAACGCCGCGGGCGGGAUGACGGCCUUCGGGUUGUAAAACGCUUUCGCCUGUGACGAAGCGUGAGUGACGGUAAUGGGUAAAGAAGCACCGGCUAACUACGUG
rnacentral:rRNA from 1 species